UGUCUUUAUGGAGGUUUAUAAAGUCUAACCUGCCCAUUGGGAACUAAAAGGCCGCGGUAUUAUGACCGUGCAAAGGUAGCAUAAUCAUUAGUUUUUUAAUUGAAGGCUAGAAUGAAUGGUUGGACAAGAAAUAAUCUGUCUUAAAUUAAUAUAUUGAAUUUAACUUUUAAGUGAAAAGGCUUAAAUAAUCUGGAGGGACGAUAAGACCCUAUAAAACUUUAUAUUUAUAAUAUAGUAGUUAGUUUUAUUUAAGGGUAUUAUUUUAGAGUAUUUGGUUGGGGUGACAAGGAUAAAAUAUAAAAUAACUGUCUUUUUUUUUUACAGUGAUGUUUGGUUUAAUGAUCCUAAAAGGGAUUAAAGAUUAAGUUACUUUAGGGAUAACAGCGUAAUUUUCUUUAAGAGUUCUUAUCGACAAGAAAGUUUGCGACCUCGAUGUUGAAUUAAAAGUUCUUUAUAGAGUAGAGACUAUAAUAGAAGGUCUGUUCGACCUUUAAAAUUUUACAUGAUUUGAGUUCAAACCGG
rnacentral:rRNA from 1 species